AACCCGGGAACAAAGAGGCCCGGGCAGCCAAUGGCAGCCGGGCAGCGCCGGGCCGCCACCAAUCACCGAGCGCCGCACGCACCUUCUAGGCCCCAGCGCGGCGCUGGCAAGGUGAGGGGCGGGGCCGCGUCCGGGGCGGCGCCCUACGGGGCGCGCUCGCGGACCUCAACCUGGCCUUCUGAGGAUGCCCUGGGUGUACGCGGGCCGGCUUCUAAAGAGCUGGGAUCCAGCCUCCCUUCGCUGAAGAUGGAGCACAGCUUUUUUUCAUUUUGGGUGUUUGCACCUGUGUUUGACUUGGGUCAAGGGGAGUAGUUAUCCCAAUAGUAACUUAUCAGUUUAUUUUCAGGGCAAAGAGAAAAAAAGAGAGAGAGAGAAGAUUGUAGGGAUCAUUCGGGAUUCCUUUGAUGACUUUGGGCACUAAAUUCACUAUUGGCAUGGUGGAGAUGCCGUUUCCUCAAUUGCUUUUCUCCACAAUUCCAAACACUGUCAAGCAGCCGUAUCUUACAUCCCUAACAUCGGUGAAGAUUGUUAGAUUGUUUUCUGAGCAUUGGGUUGUUCAAAUGAUGGUGUGAAUCACUUCAGAAACAGGUGUGUCAAUUCCUUUGGAAGCAGAGGGUUGCCCUUUGUCUCUGCUACGUGAGAUGGUGCUAGGCCUAUCGUGUGCUCAGGCUUUGAUGAAGCAGAGUCAGCACAUUGGUGCACCACAGCUGAAUUCAUUUCAUGCCCUAAUUCAGGAGCAGAUGCAUCUAAUACCAUCAGAUUGCUGGGUCUGGAAGAGUCUAGCUUCCUCAUUUUGCAGGGAACUGAGGACUCCAGAGUUUCAGGGACCAGCCUAAUGUCUUAGCCUGUGGGGAACAGAGACGGUGCUCAUGAAUCUAAACGAUUUCUCUAAAUAUGUUUGGGGCUGGAAGUACAUGACUUUGACUAAGGAAAAAAAGCGGCCAAUUUUCUUCAAUUUGUGGUUAUGGCAAAAAAAUGACAUUACCCAGACAGCAAGUGACCUAACUUGGCACCUGUUUUUAAAAAUAACAAAACAAAACAAAAAUUCCCAAAUGCAGAUAUUCAGGUCCAGGUGUAUCUCUACUUUGCUUCUGGAAAUUUGGUGGCUAAAAAUACCCCAAAUUCAUUUUAGCCAAUGCUUGCAACUCUGCUUAUUUGUUAACACAGAGUGUUGAUUUAUAAUAUGCAUGUUUCCUUUAUCCUAUUAAGAAUUAAAACUGAAAUU